UUCAAGUGCACUUAGAUUAAGGUUCAGGUUAAAGCACACAAGGGUAUCCAAAUUAGUUCCGAGCACGCCACUACGGCAUGCCUCACAUACCGAUUGUGGUUUUCGCACGAAGAGUGCCACAAUUUGAUUAAGGGUUAACAUUUCUUCCACAGUGUGAUGUGCCACGAGAGACAAUGACAAUGCUUACCCUCUAGAGGGUAUGAGCACUGGCGCACAGCAAAGCCUCAAGAAAACACGUUUAACCAUGCAUCCUGUGUACUACGCAGAAAACAGCAGUGGUGCGUGCAGGGUAGCCUCAAACAUCAACUCGCCACUCUCGCACUUGACAAAGCGUUGAAGAAAUCAAAUAUUCACCGCGAACAUCACCGCUGAUUAUUGUCAGUCAAAGCGAAGGGCACAGGAAGUUUCGCUUACAUCGAUUCCUGCAGUGCGCAGCAUCCGCAUAAAUUUUCCAGCUUGCUCCUUAUCUUGUCUGGGCAAUCGUACGGUAUGCUGCACCGUCCAGCAGGAUUUUCUUUACUAGUCAUUGCUCGAGGCUUCACUGAGCCAAGCCCGAGAUGGGCUCACUGCGCAUGCUCGCACUUCAGUACAUAAGAACCCCUCGCCGGGGAAGCGCAUGGCUACUUGCUUCUCGCUGACCGCUCCCAUCACAUCAUCAUGCCGCUCGUGGGUUACUCGGCCAAGUCCAAGUUCGUGAAAAAGAAAACCCGGCGGGUGGUCCUGGCUGAACGUCGGAGGGCCACUUCUGCCUUUGCAGAUAUGCCCCGCGUGCUGGUGCGCUUCUUCGUGGUGCUGCUGCAGCUACCUAUCCGCAUCAUUCUGCUUGCACUGCGGAUUGUCGCGGCCUUUCUGCCAGCCAGGCUCCUUUCAUGGGUGACUAUGUAGGUAGCCUCCACCCAGCGCCGUCCUUCAAGACGCCGCUUCUUCCUGUGAAAUGGACUCCGAGCCAAAAUGCCGACGACAUUCAAGAGAUAUCGCAGACCUGAAACAUUGAAAAGGACGAAAUGGAGCUGAUUUUAGCCGGACCAAGUCAUGAUUGUUUUUAACCUCACCCUACAUUGGCAUCACGUACGUCACCCACUCGAGCUCUAUUUCAGACCACAUUAGACAAUAAAGUCAUUUCAUGGGAAGUUUA